GCAUAUCAAUAAGCGGAGGAAAAGAAACCAACAGGGAUUGCCUUAGUAACGGCGAGUGAAGCGGCAAUAGCUCAAAUUUGAAAUCUGGCUCUUUCAGGGUCCGAGUUGUAAUUUGUAGAGGAUGUUUCGGGCAACGUUUCGGUUUAAAUUCCUUGGAACAGGAUGUCAUAGAGGGUGAGAGUCCCGUCUUGAACCGUAUACCGCGUCCAUGUGAAACUCCUUCGACGAGUCGAGUUGUUUGGGAAUGCAGCUCAAAAUGGGAGGUAAAUUUCUUCUAAAGCUAAAUAUUGGCCAGAGACCGAUAGCGCACAAGUAGAGUGAUCGAAAGAUGAAAAGCACUUUGAAAAGAGAGUUAAACAGUAUGUGAAAUUGUUGAAAGGGAAGCGCUUGCAACCAGACUUGUGUUUAACGGUUCCAUCACUGUUCUCAGUGGUCUAUUCCGUUAUAUCCAGGCCAGCAUCGGUUCGGGUGGUUAGUUAAAGGCCUUGGGAAUGUAUCUACCCUUCGGGGUCGACUUAUAGCCCUUGGUGUAAUGUGACCUACCUGGACCGAGGCACGCGCAUCUGCUCGGAUGCUGGCGUAAUGGUUGUAAGCGACCCGUCUUGAAACACGGACCAAGGAGUCUAACAUCUAUGCGAGUGUUCGGGUGUCAAACCCCUACGCGUAAUGAAAGUGAACGGAGGUAAGAACCCGCAAGGGUGCAUUAUCGACCGAUCCUGAUGUCUUCGGAUGGAUUUGAGUAAGAGCAUAGCUGUUGGGACCCGAAAGAUGGUGAACUAUGCCUGAAUAGGGUGAAGCCAGAGGAAACUCUGGUGGAGGCUCGCAGCGGUUCUGACGUGCAAAUCGAUCGUCAAAUUUGGGUAUAGGGGCGAAAGACUAAUCGAACCAUCUGGUAGCUGGUUCCUGCCGA
rnacentral:rRNA from 1 species